UGAGGAAUAUUGCGCAAUGGCCGAAAGGCUGACGCAGCGACGCCGCGUGGGGGAUGACGGCCUUCGGGUUGUAAACCUUUGUCAGUGGGGAAGAAAAAAAUGACUGUACCCACAGAGGAAGCCCCGGCUAACUACGUGCCAGCAGCCGCGGUAAGACGUAGGGGGCGAGCGUUGUUCGGAAUUACUGGCGUAAAGAGCUCGUAGGCUGGAAGUUAAGUCUUUGGACAAAUCUCCCGGCUCAACCGGGAACCGUUCAGGGAUACUUAUUUUCUUGAGCACAGGAGAGGGGAAUGGAAUUCCUAGCGUAGCGGUGAAAUGCGUAGAUAUUAGGAGGAACACCAGUGGCGAAGGCGGUUCUCUGGCCUGUUUCUGACGCUGAGGAGCGAAAGCUGGGGGAGCGAACGG
rnacentral:rRNA from 1 species